UGACAGCCACUCGUGUUGUAAAGCUCGCACCAAGUCUUUGUUCAAGAUCAAGGCAAAGUUUACUUGUCGCGGCUUCUACGCACCUCCUCUCUCCCUCCCGCCGCGAGGAGGCAAAUACUCUGCGGCGCAGCAGCUUCAGUGUCCGGUUACAGCGGCGAGGAGUCACCGGCGAACACGCUCCGCACUGGGAGACAACCAGCGCGGUCUCUCAGACUCAGGACUCUCUGUGAUCGUUACCUCGGACAGGGAGGGUAUUUCGCCGCAGCUGGUUCAAUAUUUCGGUCCAUUCUUGACCGGGACGAGACGCAGCGCUUCAGAUUGAACUAGAUGACCAGAAGCUUGGAGCCUCGUUCGGUUUCUUUCUCCAAUGUUUCUGGCCCCUGAGGCCUGAGGGGAAGUGAGCCAAGCCCAGGCCCCCAUGGGACACCUCGGUACUCAGCAUGCGCUGCUGCUGCUGCAGUGCGUGCUGGCCCUGUGGCCUGGCGCUGCUGUCAGCCGGAGAGGUCCCGUGCUCCUGCCCGAAUCCCCCUGUUACAAGACGGAGCACCCACUCGUUCCACACUCAGAAAUGGAGCCGUGGAUCUUCAGGUUCAAGGCUGAAGGCACAGUGGAUUACUCCCAGCUGACCUUCGAUCCUGGACAGAAUGAACUGAUUGUUGGUGCAAGGAAUCACCUCUUCAGGCUGAACCUGGAGGACCUGACUCUGAUCCAGGAGGCGGAGUGGCAGUGUGAUGAGUUCACCAAGGGAGCCUGCUUCAGUCGAGGAAAGUCUGAGGAGGAAUGCCAGAACUACAUCAGGGUGCUGCUGGUCAACGGGAACAGGCUGUUUACCUGCGGAACCAACGCCUUCACGCCCAUCUGCACCAACAGAACGCUCACCAAUAUAACAGAGAUCCACGAUCAGAUCAGUGGCAUGGCUCGCUGUCCCUACAACCCCCUGCACAACUCCACGGCACUCAUCACCUCCAGCGGCGAACUGUAUGCCGCCACAGCCAUGGACUUCUCUGGCAGAGACCCGGCAAUCUACCGCAGCCUGGGCGGACUUCCUCCUUUACGGACGGCCCAGUACAACUCCAAGUGGCUCAAUGAACCCAACUUUGUCUCCUCCUACGAUAUUGGGAACUUCACUUACUUCUUUUUCCGAGAAAAUGCUGUGGAGCAUGACUGCGGCCGGACAGUGUUUUCUCGAGCUGGACGUGUCUGCAAAAAUGACAUCGGCGGCCGCUUUCUCCUGGAAGACACCUGGACGACCUUCAUGAAAGCUCGGCUGAACUGUUCCCGGCCCGGAGAAAUUCCUUUCAACUACAACGAGCUACAGGGAACGUUCUACCUUCCAGAGCUCGAGCUGCUUUAUGGCAUCUUCACAACCAAUGUGAACAGCAUUGCUGCAUCUGCUGUCUGUGCCUUCAAUCUCAGUGCCAUUACACAAGUUUUCAAUGGGCCCUUCAAAUACCAGGAGAACUCGCGGUCCGCUUGGCUGCCUUAUCCCAACCCAAACCCGAACUUCCAGUGUGGAACCAUCGACUCUGGCUCCUACGUGAACCUGACGGAGAGAAACUUGCAAGAUGCGCAAAAGUUCUUGCUCAUGCACGAGGUGGUCCAACCUGUGGUCACCGUGCCGUACUUCAUGGAGGACAACGUUCGCUUCAGUCACGUGGCGGUGGACGUGGUGCAGGGGAAAGACAUGCUGUUUCACAUCAUCUAUUUGGCCACAGAUUACGGCACCAUCAGAAAAGUGCUCUCCCCGCUAAAUCAGUCCACCGGCAGCUGCCUAUUGGAAGAGAUUGAGCUUUUCCCACCGAGGAAGAGGCAGCCGAUCCGGAGCCUGCUGAUUCUCCACAGCCGCAGCGAGCUCUACGUGGGUGUGAGGGACCAGGUCAUCAAGAUCCCCCUCAAGAGGUGCAGCUACCACAAGAGCAGAGAUGCGUGCGUUGGGGCCAGAGACCCCUACUGUGGUUGGGAUCUCCUUCUGAAGAAAUGCACCACGUUGGAGGAGAGUGUACGAAUGAGCCAGUGGGAGCAAAGCAUCACAAAAUGUCCCGUCCGAAACGUGACGGUGGACGGAGGUUUUGGUGGAUGGUCAGGGUGGUCUACAUGCAAUCAUAAUGAUGGCGGCAGCACCGGGUCGUGUCUCUGUCGAACCCGGGCCUGUGAUAACCCGGCUCCUCAGUGUGGAGGACAGAAGUGCCAGGGGGUCAGCGUGGAGGUUGCCAACUGCUCAAGGAACGGAGCCUGGACGCCCUGGACUUCCUGGUCUCCCUGUAGCACCAGCUGCGGCAUUGGCUUUCAGGUGCGGCAGCGUUCCUGCAGCAACCCGACCCCACGCCACGGCGGGCGAGUGUGCGUGGGCCAAAAUCGUGAGGAAAGGUACUGCAACGAACACCUGCCCUGCCCGCCUCACACCUACUGGUCGGCCUGGUCGGCAUGGGAACGCUGCAACGUGCCUUGUGGUGGAGGGAUCCAGUCCCGACGCAGAACCUGUGAGAAUGGCAUUGACUGUCCCGGGUGUGGUCAGGAGUACCAGUCUUGCAACACCAUGCCUUGCCCUGACCUGAAGAAGACAACACCCUGGACGCCAUGGACCCCGGUCAACAUCUCAGACCAUGGCGGCCAUUACGAGCAGCGUUUCCGCUACACUUGCAAGGCCCGGGUGCCAGACGCUGGCCUGCUGGAAGUGGGUCGACAGAGGAUCGAGAUGCGCUACUGCUCCAGUGAUGGGUCAACUGGCUGCUCAACCGAUGGUGAGGUUCUUCGUCUGGGUCGAAUGUCAGGCCACACGGUAAAUGGCGGGUGGUCGUCCUGGAGCUCCUGGUCUCAGUGCAGCAGAGACUGCAGUCGAGGGAUCCGCAGCAGAAAGAGGACCUGCAACAACCCAGAGCCCAAACAUGGUGGGCAAGCAUGUCUCGGGCCUCCACAGGAGUUUCAGGAGUGUAACAUCACACCUUGUCCCGUGGAUGGCAGCUGGUCCUGCUGGUCUUCAUGGUCCAAGUGUUCCGUGACAUGUGGAGGAGGGCACUACAUGAGGACCCGGACCUGCAGUAACCCUCCGCCUGCUCACGGAGGAGACAUCUGCUUGGGCCUGCACACUGAGGAGGCGCUGUGCAACACACAAGCAUGUCCAGAGAGCUGGUCCAGCUGGUCGGGGUGGACUCACUGUGACUCCAACGGGGCCCAGAUGCGUGUCCGUCACUGCGACGUCCUGUUUCCUACUGGAAAUCAGUGCGCAGGAAACAGCAGCGAGAGCCGGCCGUGCUCUCCAGACUCCAAUGUCAUCCCAGAAAUCUCAAUUGCACGUUCCAGUCAGGAGGAGAGGCACUGUGGAGACUUCAACAUCUUCCACAUGAUCGCUGUCGGCCUCAGCAGCUCCAUCCUCGGGUGCCUGGUCACCCUGCUGGUCUACUCGUACUGCCAACGCUACCAGCAGCAGUCACACGACGCCACCGUUAUUCACCCGAUAUCAGCUGCUCCGCUCAACACAAGCAUCACCAACCACAUCAACAAGCUGGACAAAUACGACUCUGUGGAAGCCAUCAAGCCUGACGUGUCGGUACUCUUGCCCCUGGAUGACCCCACCCUGCACCAGCCUCUCUCUGCUAACAUGGGGGUGUCCAUGCGUGGCUUGGAGAUAUUCUACUAACCACUGACCUCAACAAACCCCCCACUUCUCCACUCCCCCAACAACAACUUUCUGACCCCAACCUCUGCUACAUCCACUUCCCCAAUGUGCCCCACUCCCCCACCUUCCUGUGGCAUUUGCUGUCUGUGGCAGGCCUUCAACAAAAACAACCUUAUUCUGGAAGAAAGGAACAAGUACUUCAACCCACAGCACAGCGGGAAGACCUACACCAACGCCUACUUCACUGACCUCAACACCUACGAUGACUAUUAAAGACGCUGUGGACAAGUGACCGAGCUGACCAUUUUCUUGUGCUUUGUAUUGAGAUUUGAGACACCACCUGUGGGAUCCUCUCUGAAACUCUCAGACUCUCGGUGGAAACUGACGCACAGUCCAGUCGGCAGAGGGAAGUACCCGCUUUCUCUCAGGUGCCUUGGGGAACACUCAAUUUCAAUUUUAGGAAGGAGAUACUGCCUUGACUGUCAAUGAAUAUUUCUUAAUGUGGACGAUAAAGUGGGCGAAAUGGAAGGCCUUUCCCUUUCCCGUUUGCUGUGCCGCCUCUGAAGCGGCUGCGUAUUUGUGAGGAAGAAAGGCAACUUCCCCGAAGGUUUUUGCAUGACUCCAUCUGACUGCUCAUCUUUUUAAUUUUGCAUGAAACCCAGCAUUCCACUUUAUGGAUCAUUUGUUGGUCUGUUUAUGUUGUUUAAAAAAAGGUCUGAGGGCUUUUACUUUGAAAAGUUUCUUUCAUAAACAUCCUCCCUAGGUCUUUGUACUGCGAUGUAGAUAAUUAGGGUCAUUUUGUUCUGUUCUUUUCAGAAUACUGCUGCAAGCAGUGUACGACGGUCGGUUUAUUUUUUACAGCUCUGAAGGUCGUGUACAGAAAGUUUUCUCCGAACUUUUUUAUGUGAAUACAUUUCUCCGUAUCUCGUGUCAAAGAAUGUGUAUUCCAAAAAUUUCAAUCGAAAUCCUACAGUAUGAGCUACUUUUUUCAACAUUGUGUGCAAUUGUUAAAUGGGCUACAGCGCAUUUGUGGUGGAGAGAUUUGAUUUGAUCCCUGAACUUAAGCUUCUCGUGUAAUGAAAACUGAGUCUCAUUGGUUCAUCUGGUAAUUCGGUGGUUCAGUUUGGACUAACCCUUUUUACAUUUUUGCUUGUCUUAUUGUGCAAAAAUUAAACUCCUCUUGGUACAAAACACUCUGGUUUCACUGGAGUAUCACAGAUUCACUGAUGAAUAUUUUGAGUGCUGAAUUGAGGAGGUCGGUUUCACAAAUACAUCAAAGGUCCCUUGUUUGAAGGUUUCUCUCAUGUUACGGAGGCUCUGAACUGCCAUGGUAAGUUUUUUUUAUUUAUGUAUUAUCUAAUUCAGAUGAGAUAAUUAUUACGUUCGUACGACAAAAAAACACGUUCAUACAAGAUCAUUAUGUGGAAUUAACGGUUAUGUUUAACAGACAUGAGUUUCAAACUUUAUCAUCCUGGAGCUUCUUGAUAUGGUCUUCUGAAAGUCUAUCAUGUCCGUUCAUUGAGAAGCAGGUGCUGUCGGAGCAUCAGCUCGGCGAUCUCUGGUCAUCCCGCAUCCAAUUUAUGAACGUGUUUUUUCACGUACAAACGUAAUAAUUACCUUGUGCGAACAUGUUUUUUUCUCAUACAAAACAUAAUAAUUAGCUCACACGAAUGAGAUAAUACAUAAAUAAAAAUAACUUACCAUGGCAGUUCAGAGCUUCCGUAGUAUGUGACCCUCUGUUCACCUCUUUUAUUUGUCGUUCACCAUAACUGCUGACCAUAAAAUACACAUCACUGUAACUGCAAGAAAAAAGGGCAUCAGCGCUCUUUGAUUCUACUGUGGGACCUGUGUGUCCCACAAAGAAGGAGAGGUUCCCGAAGGGCCUGAGCUUGUGGUCAUGAAGUGUAUGGAACAAGCAAAAGGAAAUGGAUAGAUGCCAUUUUUCAUAAGUGAAAUCAUAAGCGUUUUAUAUCUAAGUUUAUAUCUACAUGGCGAUCAGCCAGAAGUUUGAUGGUUGGGAUCUGUCUUGGAGAAUCAACGAUGAACUAAGUCAUCAGGCCUCUGUUUCAUGAAGACUAUUUUGCUCGGGCCCCGGGGGCUGAGUCAUUUUAUGUGGCCCGCAAGAGCUUUAAAAACCUAUUGUGGAGUUUAAACUCGAUCAUUUUAAGUACACCAUAAAUACUGAGACACCAUGUCACAGUCCACAGUACUGAGGUGUGACUGUCAGAGCAUUUUGUUUCAACUCGCAUUUGCUUUUCAACACUCUUGGAUGAAUAAAUCCUGGUGACCGCAGACUCAGUUUAAAGUUUUAGUCCCCUGUGAGGCUGUUCUUUAGUCUCCUUUCUUCCCAUUUAUUUGCUAUGCCUCUGACUCCUUUUCCAGAAACUCAGAAAGUAUUUUUUAUCCAAAUUCUCAUCAAUUGAAUAUAUUUUGUGUUCAUAAUAGUGAUUUUUUUUCUCAUCUUUGCCCGUCUGCAUCUUAAGGAUUCAAAGAAAAUUUCACGAAACUGCAGUCCUUCCUCUGCAACAUAUCUGUUUCAAUUACACCAAAAACACAGUAAACAUGCACCACGGAUUCAUAAGUCACUCAACCCUGAGUAAAGGACUCCCUCAACCCUAUAAAGGGUCUUUGGAGGGUCUCUGCAGUGACAAAUAGCAUUGGCAGUGGUGAAAGGGCACCUGAAGGAAAGAAAUAAAGAGAGUCAGGGGGUAAAGGUGAAGCAGGCUACCAUCUGAAGUGUAAACUCUCAUCUGAGCGAUGGAAAGUGGCAGCCCACACCAAGCUGUGCUCCAUCAACCUUAAACCUGAAGGCACGCAUCUGUGCUUCGGCGCCGAUAAGAGGUGGGCCGUUCAUCAAGCAGCCCGAUGUACGUUCAGCACCAGGGAACCCACCCCUCCUCACCCACUGGCACACGCCGUACUUUCUUUAGGUCUGAGCCACCAACCAGCGCUACUCCGCAGCAAUGCAGCAACACUUAAUGCAGAAGAUACACAGUUUUGCAAGAUAGAUUGUGAGGUCUGCAGCUAGCUCACAUUGCUACUCCACCAGCGUAGUAUGUAAAGUAGUUGCACACAGACUAGCAUGAUCACACUAAAGCGCACACACACACACAGCUUGGCAGCAGAUGUUUGCAGCUCAUCUGCAGCCAGGCACUUGUGACAUUCCACUCUGACAGGUGAGCUCAGGAGAAUAAAUGACUCUUCCACAGCGGCAUUUUGGAUCUGCCAAAGGUCGCAGUUAAAGGGUGUGAGAGUAGAACUCGCGUAUGACAGAUCAGAGUGCUUGCAUGUGCGUGAAGAAGUCGCAAGGUGGUGAGAUGUGACAUCGAGGCUUUAUCACUGUGUAGUGUGGGUGUGUGUGUGAGAAUGCAAUUGAGCUGGAUGUAGUCAAGCGGCACAUCGUGCGUCUCUGAGUGUCAAUAUUGGGUCACAUUUUGACACUUCUCAAUAUCAGACCCUCUUGAGGCUGUGUUGGAUUUUCAAUACGGAACACAUACUGUUGUGUGAGGCUGAUAAUAACAGACAGGUUCAGACGCUGGGUGCCAGAAUGUGGGUACAGAAAUCUGUCCUUUCUCUUCUGGAGCAUCAUUAUUCACCAACUUUUACUUUCUGUUACUAUUAGGGCUGGGACGAUAUACAUUUUGCCAGAUUCAGUAUUUUUCCUGAUACCUGGGAGCCGAUUCUAUUUACUAGUAACAUCCGACUUACGACCUGCUGCGACCAGCAUCUCACUCUCACACAGCGAUCUACCACGACAGUAGGACCUAUAACCCCUGCGUCAGCUAUUUUGAAUGGCAUUCGAUAUACGUCCGAUGUGACUUACAACCGGUUGGGGUGUUACUUGUAUA